AUAAAUCUGACACCUUCUGGGCCCUCCUGUUUCCAAGGGAAUUUGAUCUAGGAAGAUGUGUUUCAGAUUCUCGGAAACUGGAAUAAUGCUUUCACAAACUUUAAGUUUCAUUAUCCUAAAAUGUUAUCGCAGCUCGCCAGGAAAGGAACGCACAAUUAUUUCUCCCUCCAAUGUCGAAGGUUGAGAAUGGCAUUAUUAUAAGAGGCUGAGGCUGGACCACCUGACCAUAACAAAAGCUCCAUGCCUUCGUCCAGACACUUUUCAGGACGGUAAUUUUUAUUCACACGUGAAUCAAAACACCUUGGUUGUUCUUUGAACACAGCACAAAAGAUUUGUUGUCCAUUAGGAUGGCGAAAAAAGAAAAAACUUCCAUUUUAAUUUUCUUUUUGGUAGACAAGGUAAGAGAAAUAAAUGUACUUAUUGUGAAGAUAUAGUCCAACUUGUCUUGAUUAUAGAAAAUUAAAAUGUUAUAGUGACCUGAGGAGUAGGAAUGCAACUAUGGUAAUAAGAAGUUUUAAUAUCUCAAAACUAAGUUCUGAGUUGUCUGCACAUACAAACUGCCUUUGUAGCUACUUCACUUCACGUCGACAUCAGGAGAAGUACCAUGAAAGUCUAUGUUUUAACGAGGAAGCACUUUCUUAAAUAAGAUUUACAUUGAAGUAAAUGCUUCUAUAAGACAAAAGUAGAAAAUAUAUUAAUUUAGCAUCAUUGCUUCAUUUACAUGGUCCUUUUUCCGCCCUUAAAGUUUGAAAGUAGAAUUUUGAGAUCAUAUUCUAGGUGUGACAGGGACGGUGAUAGGCCAAAAUGGCUUUUGAGCAUUACUGUGAACAGAGAUUUCUGGCAGAGACUAGGGAGAGGAAGAUCCAGUUCUGUGAAUUCUUCACUAGGACGGCUGGCUGGACUCCAGCCUGUUCUAGUACUCACAAUCCCACAUGAUACUUUUCUCCUCUAGCAAUACAAAUUUCACCAGAAAAAAUUACUAAGGACAUGAUAGAGUGGGGGGCAAAGAAGAAGAAAAAAAAAAAUCCCGGGGGGGGAGGGGGACCAC
rnacentral:lncRNA from 1 species